rnacentral:rRNA from 1 species
GACGAACGCUGGCGGCGUGCCUAAUACAUGCAAGUCGAACGCAGUGGGGACGGGUGAGUAACACGUGGGUAACCUCCCAUCAGAGGGGAUAACACUUGGCAACAGGUGCUAAACCGAUACUGAUGGAUGAACCCGAGGGGCAUUAGCUAGUUGGUGAGGUAACGGCUCACCAAGGCCACGAUGAAUAGCCGUCCUGGGAUGGUUAUCGGCCACAAGGUGACUGAGACACGGCCCAGACGCCUACGGGAGGCAGCAGUAGGGAAUCUUCGGCAAUGGACGAAAGUCUGACCGAGCAACGCCGCGUGAGUGAAGAAGGUUUUCGGAUCGUAAAACCCUGUUGUUAGAGAAGCGGUAUCUAACCAGAAAGCCACGGCUAACUACGUGCCAGCAGCCGCGGUAAUAC